ACUUUCCCAGUGGCGCAAUCGGUCAGCGCGCGGUACUUAUAAUGCCGAGGUUGUGAGUUCGAGCCUCACCUGGAGCA